GAGUUUGAUCGUGGCUCAGAGCGAACGCUGGCGGCAGGCCUAAUACAUGCAAGUCGAGCGCCCCUUCGGGGGGAGCGGCGGACGGGUGAGUAACGCGUGGGAAUGUGCCCUUUGGUACGGAACAACACAGGGAAACUUGUGCUAAUACCGUAUGUGCCCUUCGGGGGAAAGAUUUAUCGCCAUUGGAGCAGCCCGCGUUGGAUUAGGUAGUUGGUGAGGUAAAGGCUCACCAAGCCUACGAUCCAUAGCUGGUCUGAGAGGAUGAUCAGCCACACUGGGACUGAGACACGGCCCAGACUCCUACGGGAGGCAGCAGUAGGGAAUCUUGCGCAAUGGGCGAAAGCCUGACGCAGCCAUGCCGCGUGAAUGAUGAAGGUCUUAGGACUGUAAAAUUCUUUCACCGGGGAAGAUAAUGACGGUACCCGGAGAAGAAGCCCCGGCUAACUUCGUGCCAGCAGCCGCCGCCGUAAG
rnacentral:rRNA from 1 species